AGAGCGAACGCUGGCGGCAGGCUUAACACAUGCAAGUCGAGCGGGCGUAGCAAUACGUCAGCGGCGGACGGGUGAGUAACGCGUGGGAACGUACCUUUUGGUUCGGAACAACACAGGGAAACUUGUGCUAAUACCGGAUAAGCCCUUACGGGGAAAGAUUUAUCGCCGAAAGAUCGGCCCGCGUCUGAUUAGCUAGUUGGUGAGGUAACGGCUCACCAAGGCGACGAUCAGUAGCUGGUCUGAGAGGAUGAUCAGCCACAUUGGGACUGAGACACGGCCCAAACUCCUACGGGAGGCAGCAGUGGGGAAUAUUGGACAAUGGGCGCAAGCCUGAUCCAGCCAUGCCGCGUGAGUGAUGAAGGCCCUAGGGUUGUAAAGCUCUUUUGUGCGGGAAGAUAAUGACGGUACCGCAAGAAUAAGCCCCGGCUAACUUCGUGCCAGCAGCCGC
rnacentral:rRNA from 1 species